UACCAGCUCUCCGAGUGGUAGGGAUGAUUAUUGGGCUUAAAGCGUCCGUAGCCGGCUUAGCAAGUUCCCUGUUAAAUUCAGCGACCUAAUCGUUGAGCCGCGGGAAAUACUACUAGGCUAGGAGGCGGGAGAGGUCGACGGUACUUCUGGGGUAGGGGUGAAAUCCUAUAAUCCCGGGAGGACCACCAGUGGCGAAGGCUGUCGACUAGAACGCGCUCGACGGUGAGGGACGAAAGCUGGGGGAGCGAACCGGAUUAGAUACCCGGGUAGUCCCAGCUGUAAACGAUGCGGGCUAGGUGUUGGGGUGGCUACGUGCCACUUCAGUGCCGCAGGGAAGCCAUUAAGCCCGCCGCCUGGGGAGUACGGCCGCAAGGCUGAAACUUAAAGGAAUUGGCGGGGGAGCACCACAAGGCGUGAAGCUUGCGGUUC
rnacentral:rRNA from 1 species